UUACUCAGGGAUAGCCUUUCGAAAGAAAGAUUAAUACCUGAUAGUAUGGUGAGAUUGCAUGAUAGCACCAUUAAAGAUUUAUCGGUGUACGAUGGGGAUGCGUUCCAUUAGGUAGUAGGCGGGGUAACGGCCCACCUAGCCAACGAUGGAUAGGGGUUCUGAGAGGAAGGUCCCCCACAUUGGAACUGAGACACGGUCCAAACUCCUACGGGAGGCAGCAGUGAGGAAUAUUGGUCAAUGGACGAGAGUCUGAACCAGCCAAGUAGCGUGAAGGAUGAAGGUCCUACGGAUUGUAAACUUCUUUUAUAAGGGAAUAAACCCUCCCACGUGUGGGAGCUUGUAUGUACCUUAUGAAUAAGCAUCGGCUAACUCCGUGCCAGCAGCCGCGGUAAUACGGAGGAUGCGAGCGUUAUCCGGAUUUAUUGGGUUUAAAGGGUGCGUAGGCGGCCUUUUAAGUCAGCGGUGAAAGUCUGUGGCUCAACCAUAGAAUUGCCGUUGAAACUGGGAGGCUUGAGUAUGUUUGAGGCAGGCGGAAUGCGUGGUGUAGCGGUGAAAUGCUUAGAUAUCACGCAGAACCCCGAUUGCGAAGGCAGCCUGCCAAGCCAUGACUGACGCUGAUGCACGAAAGCGUGGGGAUC
rnacentral:rRNA from 1 species